rnacentral:rRNA from 1 species
CCUACGGGUGGCAGCAGUGAGGAAUAUUGGUCAAUGGGCGCGAGCCUGAACCAGCCAAGUAGCGUGAAGGAUGACUGCCCUACGGGUUGUAAACUUCUUUUAUAAAGGAAUAAAGUGAGGCACGUGUGCCUUUUUGUAUGUACUUUAUGAAUAAGGAUCGGCUAACCCCGUGCCAGCAGCCGCGGUAAUACGGAGGUGCCGAGCGUUAUCCGGAUUUAUUGGGUUUAAAGGGAGCGUAGAUGGGUUGUUAAGUCAGUUGUGAAAGUUUGGGGGUCAACCGUAAAAUUGCAAUUGAUACUGGCAGCCUUGAGUGCAGUAGAGGUAGGCGGAAUGCGUGGUGUAGCGGUGAAAUGCUUAGAUAUCACGAAGAACUCCGAUUGCGAAGGCAGCUUACUAAUCUGCCACUGACAUUGAGGCUCGAAAGUGUGGGUAUCAAACAGGAUUAGAUACCCCAGUAGUC